CCCAAGCUAGAAAAUAAAUGUUCAAGGGUAUUUGUCAUGCGAAGACCAGCCCAAGAUAUUGAGAGAGAGAGAGAACAAGAGAGAAGACAGAGACAGACAGACAGAAUCAUUCCUGUGCCCAGGCUACAGGCACUAGGUGUGUGGAUCUCUGUGUAUGUUGAGCCAGAAAGGGACUGAGUAACUCCCCAAGUCUUGGGAGAGUUGAUGGGGCCCAAGGGGAGCCGACAGGCUGAACAACCUCAAUCCAUUUGCACUAUUGAUUUCUCAUACACUGCAGCCGGCCUGAUGAGGGGGGAUGAUAAAUCAGCCCCCCAGAGACACAGAAACUGAGUGGAGAGAGGGGGAGGGAGGAGCCAGACGCUGGGUGCCAGGGGCUACAGAGCCUCCACCCCUAUCCUACCUGGGACUCCUGACACCUCCAAGCCCUGGGAGAAGGCCCUCCCUGUGCAGGAGGAAGGAAACCAGCUUAGCGACUCUCUGGAGGCCUGCAGGGCAGCUCUGCACCAGGAGGCAGGCGGGAAACCCAGGAGUCUUGGCUCCUGGCCCAGGGAGGGAGUGAGAGAAAUACCUCGGAGGGGAGGAAACAGCUUGGAGAGAGGCAGACACAAGUGCCCCCAGCAGCUCCCAGAGGCGACCCUCCAGGAGGAACUGGCCAGAGGGGCUGCAGGGGGAAAGUGAACACAUUUCUGAACAAGAAGGGAGAAGAAGGCAGAGCCCUAGGGAUGCAGGAAGCAGGGCAGGCCAGCCAGGCUCUCACCUGCUCUCCUCUCCUCCCAUCAGAGCCUGUCAGAGUCCGAAGUGCUUAUUAAGGGCACUAAAUAUCAGGGAGGUCCUAGGGGCCUACUUGUGUUCCCCCCUCCCCUUAUCUCCAGACCUCAGCCUGUUCGUUCCUGAGCUUCCCCUGGCACCCCUCCCCUGGGGCCCAGCCAAGUCAGGAGUCAGCAGGCCCAAGGUGGUGCCUGGGAGGCCUGGGCAGUGCCAGGGGCAGCCCUCAUACCAUCCUCCCACUGGCUUCCCUCCCGCCUGCUCUCGGCCGCCACACAUAUCUCAGCUGUCGAAUCCGAUUAGGGCUCUUGCCCAGUGAGCCGGACAAGGAGGCCACUGGGCAGGGGAGAGACAGGGACAAGGACGCUGAGCAGGAAUGGCAGGAGGAAGGUGGAGACGGGGCUCAGGGGAGAAGGUGUGGAGCCCCAGAGGACCAGAGAGCUGAUAGCCAGCUAUGACCCGCAUUAGGGGAACUCUGCAGCCCCUAGGGCAACAACCUGGUUCCUCCAUCCCAGAGAUGGGCAAGGAUGGGGGAAGGAAACUGAAGGCAGAGAGAUGACCUAGAUUAGAAAAAGAAUCCCAUGCUGGAGCACUAUCCCCGUCC
rnacentral:lncRNA from 1 species